CAUGGCUGCGCCCUGCUCGGAUCAACAGGUCUGAAGGUGUCCAUGAUGUCCUCUCAGCAGGUGAGUAUCAGUGAGCUCCUGCUCUCAUUGGACAGUUCAGAGCUGCAGGAGGCGGAGUCAGUCAGAGCGGCCGUCAACCAGCAGCUGAGUACAGACAGAGGAGGUGCUGUCCUGUCCUCCCUGGUAGAGUAUUAUCUGGACUCGUCCUCGUCUCAGGUUGUCCUCCUCCUGUCCUCCAUCAGAGAGCCUCAU